rnacentral:rRNA from 1 species
GACGAACGCUGGCGGCGUGCUUAACACAUGCAAGUCGAACGGAAAGGCCCUGCUUUUGUUGGUUUCUCGAGUGGCGAACGGGUGAGUAACACGUGAGUAACCUGCCCUUGACUUUGGGAUAACUUCAGGAAACUGGGGCUAAUACCGGAUAGGAUCUCCUGCUGCAUGGUGGGGGUUGGAAAGUUUCGGCGGUUGUGGAUGGACUCGCGGCUUAUCAGCUUGUUGGUGGGGUAGUGGCUUACCAAGGCUUUGACGGGUAGCCGGCCUGAGAGGGUGACCGGCGACAUGGGGACUGAGAGACGGACCAGAAGCCAACGGGAGGCAGCAGGGGGGAAUAUUGCAGAAUGGGCGGGAGCCUGAUGCAGAAACGCCGCGUGCGGGAUGACGGCCUUCGGGUUGUAAACCGAUUUCGAAGGUGACGAAGAGUGAGUGACGGUAAUGGGUAAAGAAGCAACGGCUAACUACGUG